ACCGCUUCUCGGCCUUUUGGCUAAGAUCAAGUGUAGUAUCUGUUCUUAUCAGUAAGUAAAGAAUGGAGAAAAGAGAACUCUAAUACACAAACAUUUUUUCUCCUUAGCUCUUUCUCUCAGUAGCUCUAUAGAAAUGGAAAAAUAAUUGUUUUCUCUGGGCUUGAUUUUCCUUAUUAGGAGGGAAAAAAAU